CACGUAGGGCGCAAGCGUUGUCCGGAAUUAUUGGGCGUAAAGAGCUCGUAGGCGGUCUGUUACGUCUGCUGUGAAAACCCAGGGCUUAACCCUGGGCUUGCAGUGGAUACGGGCAGACUAGAGGCAGGUAGGGGAGAAUGGAAUUCCCGGUGUAGCGGUGAAAUGCGCAGAUAUCGGGAGGAACACCGGUGGCGAAGGCGGUUCUCUGGGCCUGACCUGACGCUGAGGAGCGAAAGCAUGGGGAGCGAACAGG
rnacentral:rRNA from 1 species